rnacentral:rRNA from 1 species
GAUGAACGCUGGCGGCGUGCUUAACACAUGCAAGUCGAACGAAGCACUUUAUUUGAUUUCCUUCGGGACUGAUUAUUUUGUGACUGAGUGGCGGACGGGUGAGUAACGCGUGGGUAACCUGCCUUGUACAGGGGGAUAACAGUUGGAAACGGCUGCUAAUACCGCAUAAGCGCACAGCAUCGCAUGAUGCAGUGUGAAAAACUCCGGUGGUAUAAGAUGGACCCGCGUUGGAUUAGCUAGUUGGUGAGGUAACGGCCCACCAAGGCAACGAUCCAUAGCCGACCUGAGAGGGUGACCGGCCACAUUGGGACUGAGACACGGCCCAAACUCCUACGGGAGGCAGCAGUGGGGAAUAUUGCACAAUGGGCGAAAGCCUGAUGCAGCGACGCCGCGUGAGCGAAGAAGUAUUUCGGUAUGUAAAGCUCUAUCAGCAGGGAAGAUAAUGACGGUACCUAACAAGAAAGCACCGGCUAACUACGUGCCAGCAGCCGCGGUAAAACGUAGGGUGCAAGCGUUGUCCGGAAUUACUGGGUGUAAAGGGAGCGCAGGCGGACCGGCAAGUUGGAAGUGAAAACUAUGGGCUCAACCCAUAAAUUGCUUUCAAAACUGCUGGCCUUGAGUAGUGCAGAGGUAGGUGGAAUUCCCGGUGUAGCGGUGGAAUGCGUAGAUAUCGGGAGGAACACCAGUGGCGAAGGCGACCUACUGGGCACCAACUGACGCUGAGGCUCGAAAGCAUGGGUAGCAAACAGGAUUAGAUACCCUGGUAGUCCAUGCCGUAAACGAUGAUUACUAGGUGUUGGAGGAUUGACCCCUUCAGUGCCGCAGUUAACACAAUAAGUAAUCCACCUGGGGAGUACGACCGCAAGGUUGAAACUCAAAGGAAUUGACGGGGGCCCGCACAAGCAGUGGAGUAUGUGGUUUAAUUCGAAGCAACGCGAAGAACCUUACCAGGUCUUGACAUCCGAUGCAUAGUGCAGAGAUGCAUGAAGUCCUUCGGGACAUCGAGACAGGUGGUGCAUGGUUGUCGUCAGCUCGUGUCGUGAGAUGUUGGGUUAAGUCCCGCAACGAGCGCAACCCUUAUUGCCAGUUACUACGUAAGAGGACUCUGGCGAGACUGCCGUUGACAAAACGGAGGAAGGUGGGGAUGACGUCAAAUCAUCAUGCCCUUUAUGACCUGGGCUACACACGUACUACAAUGGCGUUUAACAAAGAGAAGCAAGACCGCGAGGUGGAGCAAAACUCAAAAACAACGUCUCAGUUCAGAUUGCAGGCUGCAACUCGCCUGCAUGAAGUCGGAAUUGCUAGUAAUCGCGGAUCAGCAUGCCGCGGUGAAUACGUUCCCGGGCCU